rfam:Gossypium arboreum cultivar AKA8401 contig_4704_1, whole genome shotgun sequence.
UGUCAAAAUUUUCAUCUACUUGUAAUAUUAAAAAUUGGCGUAGUUGACAGAAUACUAGGAUGUAUCACGUGUACCUCAUAUUGUUGUACGAGACCACCUUUUAACAACAUAAAUGAGUGAAAUUUUUAAUG